ACUGUGAUUCCCUUAGUAACUGCGAGUGAAGCGGGAUAAGCCCAUCGUUUAAUCUUCCCGGACUGUGGACGGGACGACAUGUAACGGUAUGGAUAGGUUCUCUAUCAACUCUGGCUGGUCAAAGUCCUCCGGAUUGAGGUGCCAAAGAGGGUGACAGCCCCGUGUGUGACUGGAAAGAGUUGAGUAUGUGGCCGAUUCCGAGAGUCGGGUUGUUUGGGACUGCAACCUAAAGCAGGUGGUAAACUCCACCCAAGGCUAAAUAUUGACACGAAACCGAUAGCGAAUAAGUACUGUGAAGGAAAGUUGAAAAGAACUCUGAAAAGAGAGUUAAAAGUACGUGAAACCGCUAACGGGGAAGCGGAAGGCAGUGUCGAGAUUGGGUGAGUGAGUUGUCUCAAGUUGGUUUUUAAUUAAUUUGGGGCGACUAGCUUUGCUCGAUGCGUCAGGACUAUUGGUGUGCGGUGGCUCAAUUGUCGGCAUGGCUUCCACGACACUCAUGCGCAUGAACUUGUGUGUGGGCUCGUGGUUGCGGCAGGCAAUCCGCCUCGUGCGCUGAUAUGGAUGUGGUGAGGCGUUGGUGAUGUAGUGUCGGUUGGUGUUGUGUGGUGCUCCGCGUAGUCACAGUGUGGCUACGUGUGGAGAAGUCAUGUGAUAGUUCAACAACCAGUGCCAGGGCCUGACGUGAUACCUAACCUUC
rnacentral:rRNA from 1 species